CCAGGACAGCACAGGUUCUCAUGAUGGAGAGAGCCCAGGGCCAGGACAGCACAGGUUCUCAUGAUGGAGAGAGCCCAGGGCCAGGACAGCACAGGUUCUCAUGAUGGAGAGAGCCCAGGGCCAGGACAGCACAGGUUCUCAUGAUGGAGAGAGCCCAGGGCCAGGACAGCACAGGUUCUCAUGAUGGAGAGAGCCCAGGGCCAGGACAGCACAGGUUCUCUGGGUAGACUUCCACUCGUCGUGAAUGCAAGGCAAUGGAGAGAGCCUGUGCAUACAUACGAUUCA